CACUUCUACGUCACGCCACAACUCCACAAUGGCGACCCCUGUGAUGAUGGAAGGUCCAAAGACUUCUGUGUUGGACCCCCUGAAAGGGCUCCUUUUGACCUAUUUCAUGCCAGAAUCAUGUUACGAUGAGUUUUUUCUUAAUUUUAAUUUUUUGGACGUUCCGUGUCUGAAGAUUGUGCUCAGCAAAGGACUGGGCAUUGGAAUCAUCCUAGGGUCUGUGAUGGUGAAGCUGCCCCAGAUUCUGAAGCUGAUGGGGGCUAAGAGUGCAGAGGGUCUCAGCUUCAACUCGGUCCUGCUGGAGCUACUGGCUAUCACAGGAACCAUGGCCUAUAGUAUCGCUAACAGCUUUCCCUUCAGUUCCUGGGGUGAAGCCCUGUUCCUCAUGCUGCAGACGGUGACCAUCGGGUUCCUCAUUAUGCAUUAUGGAGGCAGCACCGCCAAAGGUGUGCUGUUCCUGGGGGUCUACUCUGGUCUGGUGGCUCUUCUGCUUUCCCCAGUCACUCCCAUGGCUGUAGUCAUGGCCAUGCAGGCCUUCAACAUGCCUGCCAUCAUCAUCGGCAGGCUGAUCCAGGUGUUGACAAACUACCACAACGGACACACGGGUCAGCUGUCUGCCAUCACUGUGCUGAUGCUGUUCGCCGGGUCCCUGGCCCGGAUAUUCACCUCCAUACAGGAAACUGGUGACUCCCUGAUGGCCCUGACCUACGUCAUAUCCUCGUCGUGUAACGGCCUCAUCGCCGCCCAGCUCAUCUACUAUUGGAACUGCCGCCCGGCGCUCAAAAAGAAGACGGAGUAGGCGGACUGACCAGCGGACCCGGAGACAGACAGACAGACAGACAGAGAGAAAGAAUGUCCCAGAACUCCAAGUGAAUUUAGAAUGAAGGGGGGGGGGCUAACCACAUAAGAGGGAACCCGAGAGCCGAGAAUAUUUUUUUCUUCUUCGGGAAACGGAGAGAAAGAUGCUGGUCAGAGAAGGAAGAGGUGUAUAGCAGAUCCUGGAGGGUGAUCGACAGAGGCGGUUAAGACUGAGAGUUUGGAGGAAAAAAAAGUUAUCUUUCAUUGAAAGACAAGAGGGCCCCGGGCUGCGUAUCUGAUGGGGACUGUGCAACCGAAUGGCGGAGCAGGCGAUCACCUGUGAGAUACAUUCAUCUUGGGAGGUCUGACUGUGCUUGAAAUGGCCAGUUUCGUUCCACUGCGCUUGAGACUUGUCUGCAAUUCACACGCACACGCGCACACAUGCCACACACACAUAUACCAAACACAAACACUCACAUCGCUCCUUUAAUCAGCCAAAACAUGCUCUCUUAAUCUUUUUAAUGUGUGGGUGCCAAUGCUUAUCUACCUGCUGAUCACUAGGCCUGCAUUUCCUAUCUCCCCCUAUCUGGUCCAUCUGUGGAACACCCCUGCUCUUUCAUAACCUGGCGGAAAAUGCCAUUGCCCCACCUCAGCGGGGGUGUUUUAAUGAAUGUCUCAGCUGCCUGACAAGGGUGACAGCCCAUCUCCUCCAGUGGUUCUGUUACAAGUGUUUAAUAUUCCCACACACAAUGAGGAUUGUUUUACUAUCUUCGUGAGGACCACCAAUUGAGUACCAUGAGAAAAGUAACCUUAAAACGAACCCGUUCCCUAUCCUAAAACCCUUAACCUAACCAUAACCUCAACUUUGUAAGCUGUAACGGGCCAUAUGUCUUCAAUUUGCUAGAUUUUACAGUUUUUUUCUAUACUUGUGAGGAAAAACUAGUUCACCUACACACAAAGAACACACACUCAUCUAAGACAGUCAUUCUUUCCCUCAUUUCUCUCGUUCACUCUCAUUUUCUCUCCCUCGCUUGUCUAGCUCAGGGUGUGUCUCUGCUUGCUCAUUAGGGCUACCUGUCACUCCCUCACUCAGAGGUUGGCAAAUAGUUCCUCUAUUAGCGGCAUUAUUGUGUAGUCUAAUAUCGCCCAUCUGUCAUAGCUGCACAGCUGGCUUGGUCUUUAUGCAUGUGCGUGAGCCAGGUCUAUGUGAACAUCAUGGGACCUGAGGACCCCACAUAGGUAUUAAAAACAGACAUAUAGGCCCCACAUAUUUGGGGGGCUGGUCCCGAUUAUAGUGUUAGAAUUGGGGUUACCGAAAAAAAGAAAAAAUUGGCGUUACUUGUAGUUUCAGUCAUUACAAGUUAAAUGAAGUUCGACAUUGAAGUUAGGUUAGGUUAAGUUUUGGUUAGGGUUAGGUUAGGGUUAGGGUUAGGUUAAGUUUAGGCAUAUAAGUUAUGACGUCAAGGUAAUGAUUAAGGAUAGGGAACAUGGUUUUCUGGGUCAGAGUCAGGUAUCCGAUGUGUAAUCUUAUCACUUCACCUCCAGUUCUGACAAAAAUCUGAAUUACCUUUGUGUGACUGAACACCUCUCCUGUUGUCUUAAGGUUAAUAGGACCCCACAUCAUGGCAGGGUGUUUGCAAACACUGAAAAACAUCUGACUAUCAAAACAUACAUAAGAUGAAUGAGUCAAAUAAAAAAUCAAACAUGA